rnacentral:sRNA from 1 species
GUUUCGAUCUGUGCAGGGUUAAUAAAGUGAACAUGCGUGUCAAUUCCCCCCGCUGUAACGAUCAUUCCUUCACCGGCAAUAAUCUCGGUAGAAGCUCCGAUCACGAUGUCUACAUUAUCCAUGACUAAUGGAUUCCCUGCAUUCCCGAUCCCGGAAAUUUUCCCGUCUCUGAUCCCGAUAUCUGCUUUAUAAAUACCAGUGUAAUCCAGAAUAAUUGCAUUGGUAAUGACAACGUCAGGGAUUCCUUCUCCACGUGUUACAAGCGGAUGCUGACCCAUUCCAUCAC